AUGAGAGGUCCAGCCUGCCCAGUGACUUUGUUCAACGGCCGCGGUAUCCUAACCGUGCGAAGGUAGCGUAAUCAUUUGUUCUUUAAUUGAGGACUAGUAUGAACGGCACCACGAAGGUUAUACUGUCUCCUCUCUCUAAUCAGUGAAACUAUUCUCCCCGUGAAGAAGCGGGGAUGAACUUAUAAGACGAGAAGACCCUAUGGAGCUUUAAACAUAACAACAACUGCCCCGCCCCAGUUUUAUGUUCCCGAAAAAUUAUUUACCUAAGCAUUUUGAUUGUACGUUUUAGGUUGGGGUGACCGCGGAGCAAAAAACAACCUCCACACUGGAAGGGACCUUUCCCUAAACCCAGGGCCACAGCCCCCAGAAUCAAUAAAUUGACACCUGUUGACCCAAUAUUUUGACCAAUGAACCAAGUUACCCUAGGGAUAACAGCGCAAUCCACUUUAAGAGCUCCUAUCGACAAGUGGGUUUACGACCUCGAUGUUGGAUCAGGGUUCCCUAGUGGUGCAGCCGCUGCUAACGGUUCGUUUGUUCAACGAUUAAAACCCUACGUGAUCUGAGUUCAGACCGGAGCAAUCCAGGUCAGUUUCUAUCUAUAAAGAGCUUUUUCUAGUACGAAAGGACCGAAAAAACAUGGCCAAUGCCAAAGUAAGCCAUAAUACCUUAUUUAUGACCAAAU
rnacentral:rRNA from 1 species